rnacentral:rRNA from 1 species
AGACGAACGCUGGCGGCGUGCCUAAUACAUGCAAGUCGAACGCUUCUUUUUCCACCGGAGCUUGCUCCACCGGAAAAAGAGGAGUGGCGAACGGGUGAGUAACACGUGGGUAACCUGCCCAUCAGAAGGGGAUAACACUUGGAAACAGGUGCUAAUACCGUAUAACAAUCGAAACCGCAUGGUUUUGAUUUGAAAGGCGCUUUCGGGUGUCGCUGAUGGAUGGACCCGCGGUGCAUUAGCUAGUUGGUGAGGUAACGGCUCACCAAGGCCACGAUGCAUAGCCGACCUGAGAGGGUGAUCGGCCACAUUGGGACUGAGACACGGCCCAAACUCCUACGGGAGGCAGCAGUAGGGAAUCUUCGGCAAUGGACGAAAGUCUGACCGAGCAACGCCGCGUGAGUGAAGAAGGUUUUCGGAUCGUAAAACUCUGUUGUUAGAGAAGAACAAGGAUGAGAGUAACUGUUCAUCCCUUGACGGUAUCUAACCAGAAAGCCACGGCUAACUACGUGCCAGCAGCCGCGGUAAUACGUAGGUGGCAAGCGUUGUCCGGAUUUAUUGGGCGUAAAGCGAGCGCAGGCGGUUUCUUAAGUCUGAUGUGAAAGCCCCCGGCUCAACCGGGGAGGGUCAUUGGAAACUGGGAGACUUGAGUGCAGAAGAGGAGAGUGGAAUUCCAUGUGUAGCGGUGAAAUGCGUAGAUAUAUGGAGGAACACCAGUGGCGAAGGCGGCUCUCUGGUCUGUAACUGACGCUGAGGCUCGAAAGCGUGGGGAGCAAACAGGAUUAGAUACCCUGGUAGUCCACGCCGUAAACGAUGAGUGCUAAGUGUUGGAGGGUUUCCGCCCUUCAGUGCUGCAGCUAACGCAUUAAGCACUCCGUC